rnacentral:rRNA from 1 species
GCACUCCUGGGGCGUCUGUAACUCUCUCAGAGAGGAAGGCGCACCUAGAGCGCACACGCUGAUACCCGAAAGAUGGUGAACUAUGCCUGGCCAGGACGAAGCCAGGGGAAACCCUGGUGGAGGUCCGCAGCGAUUCUGACGUGCAAAUCGAUCGUCGGAGCUGGGUAUAGGGGCGAAAGACCAAUCGAACCAUCUAGUAGCUGGUUCCCUCUGAAGUUUCCCUCAGGAUAGCUUGCGCUCGAAUUUCAAGAGUCUCAUCCGGUAGAGCGAAUGAUUAGAGGCCUUGGGGUCGAAACGACCUCAACCUAUUCUCAAACUCCAAAUAGAUGAGAUCAUCGGCUUGCUUGAACGAAUGUUGAAGCCGGUGUUUUGGAUCAGAGUGCCAAGUGGGCCAAUUUUGGUAAGCAGAACUGGCGCUGUGGGAUGAACCAAACGCGGAGUUAAGGCGCCUCAAUCGACGCUCAUGAGAAACCAUGAAAGGCGUUGGUUGCUUAAGACAGCAG